rnacentral:tRNA from 1 species
GUCCAGCCUAGUGGACAUGGCAUCUGCCCGGUAAGCGGAACACUGUGGGUUCGAUUCCCAUCCCUGGACA